GCACAGGAUUGUACUCUUUUGAAUACAGAAGAGGAAAGAAAAGUGAUCUAAUCGAGCCCCUCAGAAGAGUCGUAAACCACGAGGGAAGCUGAGUCCGGAGUCAGGAACGUUUUGACAGGUCUAACUAUCAUCACAGUUCAAAGAAGCAUCUUCCCAGGCCCAGCAGGAAUGGACAGCAUUCACGACCUUUUCAGCUGAGGAUAUUGGCAGGAAGAAAAGCUGGGCUCAACAG